ensembl:snRNA U1 U1 spliceosomal RNA
ACAUUUACCUGGCAGGGGAGACACCAUGAUCAGGCAGAUGGUUUUCCCAGAGAGAGGCUCACCCAUUGUUCUUGGAGUGUGCUGGUCCCUGAGAUUUCUGCAUACACAGGUAACUCAACUGAAUGAUUUGUGGUAGUGGGGGACUGUAUUAGCUCUCUCUCCUG